UUUUUGUUCAGCUGUAUUCUGUAACUUUUCUACAUGAAUAUGUGUAAUAAAAUUUUAAAAAUCAAAGCCAGAUACUGCAUUGUGAAAGUUGUUAAUUGAUUAAUAUUUUUGGCUUUUGAUAAUAUAGCAAAUACUUAAUACUAAUAGCCAAUAAAAUCUUUUAAAUUGAAUGUUAAUUACUUUAAUCAAUAGCAGAAAAACAUGGAAUUUAAUUAUAAGGUUAAAAAGGAAACAGAACAAUAUCCAGGUACUUACUGGUUCUCUGCAGAUGGAGACUCAGUUGUUUUGUGUUCAUGGCCCUGUAGACAGCUAUCUUACGUUAUCCAGUUCAAAGCAAAGCACAGUCUGGUUGACAAAACAGAAAGUCUAUGAGUCACACUACAGGCAAAAUCAGAGAUAUAUGUGGGCUUGCUUCUAGACCACCGUUAAUAAAGCAAGUAUAGUGAUAAAGCCAGCCGUAACCUUUGCUGGUGGAGGGUCUUGCCUUCCACUUGUGAAAUACAAUAUCUCUGAAGCGUAAUAAAGUGAAGCACAAUCAAACAAGCUAAGCCUGUAUUACUUUUACCAACAGCACCAAAUGGUCUCUAAAAGUGAAUAAACUUGGUAUGGGGAAAGAAAAGGGGUAUCUUUCCAAACUACAUCAUGUUUGCCAUUCCUUGGUGAGACUCCUGUGUAGGAGCAAUGCUACACAGUGUGGUAGAAUGGAGGCAGGAAAAAGUACAGAGGUUGAGAACUGUCUCUAUUGGGAGCUUUGUUUGAUUUGCCAGAGGACGAGCACGUCGGAACAGAGAGAAGUACUUUCCUCCUGCAGCGGCCAUCUGCACUGUUUGCAGACAGAGCAUCACUGCAGCCGCAGAGGACACAUGUCUACAGGGUUCAGCUCUAGUGUCACAAAGCAAGUCCGUGAAGGGUGGAUUUGGAGCUGAGAAGAAAUAAACUGAUAACUGGAACAUGUACCAGAAGGAAUUCUUUUAAAUUAAGGGUUCUAAUUCAGUUCUGGUGAAUCAAAGUUUUAUGAUGCCAAGGUUUGACCACACUGAAGAAUGUACACAUCAUGGUACCCAGGAGCCCUGGCCAGGUGGCUCAGUUGGUUGGAGCAUAAUCACAUGCACAAAAAGGUUGUGGGUUUGAUUUCCAGUUGGGGCUCACAUGGGAGGCAACUGAUCCAUGUUUCUCUCUUACAUCAAUGUCUCUCUUGCUUCUUUUUCCCUUCCUCUCUUUCUAAUAUCAGUAAAGCAUAUUCUUGGGUGAGGAUUAUAAAAAAAUUACCCAGGAAUUUGUAAAAAUGCAGGGCCCAUGGUCAGUAAGGCACUAUAUUAAUAGUAUAUGUUGUUGUUUACAUGUGAUUUUUAUGUCUUUGAUCCACUAUCAAUGGAAGGUAUACUUAGAGUCAUUUUCUUGAGAACAAAAGUG